rnacentral:rRNA from 1 species
UACGUAGGGGGCGAGCGUUGUCCGGAUUUAUUGGGCGUAAAGCGUGCGUAGGCGGCUGCGCAAGUCGGGUGUGAAACCCCGGGGCUCAACCCCGGAACUGCAUCCGAUACUGCGUGGCUAGAGGUAGGUAGGGGAAUCGGAAUUCCUGGUGUAGCGGUGAAAUGCGCAGAUAUCAGGAGGAACACCGGUGGCGAAGGCGGAUCUCUGGGCCUUACCUGACGCUCAGGCACGAAAGCUAGGGGAGCGAACAGG